rnacentral:rRNA from 1 species
CAGCAGCCGCGGUAAUACGUAGGUGGCAAGCGUUGUCCGGAAUUAUUGGGCGUAAAGGGCUCGCAGGCGGUUUCUUAAGUCUGAUGUGAAAGCCCCCGGCUCAACCGGGGAGGGUCAUUGGAAACUGGGAAACUUGAGUGCAGAAGAGGAGAGUGGAACCCCACGUGUAGCGGUGAAAUGCGUAGAGAUGUGGAGGAACACCAGUGGCGAAGGCGACUCUCUGGUCUGUAACUGACGCUGAGGAGCGAAAGCGUGGGGAGCGAACAGGAUUAGAUACCCCAGUAGUCCCUGUCUCUUAUAA